UUCCGGUCCCGCCGCCGGGAGCCGGUGCGGCUGUGAAGGCCAGCGCGACUCGGUGCCGCUGCUGGCCGGGCAUGAUUUUGGGUGCCGGCUUGCCUCGCCUGACUCGCGGUGCUCAGUGUCUGGAGACAUGGCCCUAACCCUCCCCUUGCCUGUCUUCCAGAAGAAAGGUGGCAGUAAUGCUAACUCUGGCAAGCAAGUUGAAGCGGGAUGAUGGUCUCAAAGGAUCCCGGGCCUCAGCCUCCACAUCCGACUCCACUCGGAGGGUUUCUGUGAGAGACAAGUUGCUUGUUAAAGAGGUUGCAGAACUUGAAGCUAAUUUACCUUGUACCUGUAAAGUACAUUUUCCUGAUCCAAACAAGCUUCACUGCUUUCAGCUGACUGUAAGCCCAGAUGAGGGUUACUACCAGGGUGGAAAAUUUCAGUUUGAAACUGAAGUUCCUGAUGCCUACAACAUGGUGCCUCCCAAGGUGAAAUGCUUGACUAAAAUCUGGCACCCCAACAUCACAGAAACAGGGGAAAUAUGCCUAAGUUUACUAAGAGAACAUUCAAUUGAUGGCACUGGCUGGGCUCCCACUAGAACGUUAAAGGAUGUUGUUUGGGGAUUAAACUCUUUAUUUACUGAUCUUUUGAAUUUUGAUGAUCCACUGAACAUUGAAGCUGCAGAACAUCAUUUGCGGGACAAGGAAGAUUUUCGGGACAAAGUGGAUGAAUACAUCAAACGCUAUGCCAGAUGAUAGAAGGAGAGAUGGCAGGUCUGAGGACUUUGUCACAGUUGUCUCUGAUGUGAAACAGCUCGAGGUAUCCCUCUUCCCCAUCCUCAUACUCCCUGUCAGCCCCUUGGGAUUGUCCCAGUCCUGCGACCAUGCUGUCCUGAAGAAGACCCUCCUGACUACCCACUGUAGGUGGAGAACAACACAAUACAGCAAGAAAGUGUGUCUGGGCCUCGAGAGAGUUGUCUACUUCCCUUAACAUGUUUACUGAAACUACUGUCUAGGCUGUCUGGUGGAAUUCCUCCGAAGUUGUAAGGAACUCACCACUGAGGAUGUAGCGCUUGCUGCCCUUCCCCCAACAAUCGGUAUCCUGCACAAGUGAUGUAAUGACAUGUUCCGUGUGACUGGCAGAUUGGCAAUAAGAAACCCGCUAUAAACUGUGAUUGGAUGCACAUUCUCUUAGCUUCUUCCACGAAUGCUGACCCUACCUAGAUGUGAAGCUUCCCAGAAUGCAUAGUCAUUCACUGUAGAUCUUACUGAAAUGCGUAUUUUAUUUAAUGUAAGUAUAUUUUGGAACAGAUUUGUAAUUUGUAC
rnacentral:lncRNA from 1 species